UUUUAUUUUAAGAUUAUUUUUUAUUGUUGAAAAAAUUAAAAAUAAAUUGUUUAAAACAAAAAUUAAAAUUUAUAAUAUUUCUGUUUUUUAUUUUUAGUUAAAAAUAAAAAUAAUAAAUAUGAAAAAUAGAAAAAUUUUGUUAUAAAUUAAAUUGGUUUUUUAAAAUUAAAAAUAUUUUUUAUAAAUUUAUUUUUUUUUAUUUUUUUAGAAAAAAAAAAAUUUAAUUAUUAUUAUUGAAAUUAAUUUAAUUAUUUAGUAAAAAAUUUUAUAUUAAAUAAAUUAAAUAAUAAAUGUUUUUUAAAUUCUUUGGGGAUUUAUUUUUUGAUUUUUUAUUUCUGCUCAUUGUUAAAGAAAAGCACUUUUAGCGUGAUUGG
rnacentral:rRNA from 1 species